AUGGCUUCUAUAUAUAUUUUGGGAAGAGUAGUGUGGAUAUACAGUAUACGAUUUGUUACCUACCCAGCCUCAGACGGUGCUAGGGUUCAUGUAGACUUGUGGCCUCUUGCAAUAGCUCCAAGGCUUUCCAAAGGGUUCAUAGCCCAAAGGCUGGGAAUUCCCAGUGUAGAAGUAUCCACUUCUGCCUGCCUUAUUGAAGCUAUACCAUACAAUCCUGAACAUAUCUGCUUUCACCUGUUCUCUGAGGCCUUGGCCUUGGAUGGCAGACUUUGGGGAGUAGCAGGCAAGAAAACUGACUUCAGAAAAGUUGCCAAUGGCUAUACUUCCAGCUUGAAAAUCUACACUAUGGAGAGCCUGGGAAUUUCUUCUUCCCUCUCCCCAAACUUCUCGCAAAUAAACGAGUCAUGGAUUUUUACUGUUUGCAUCACUGCACUGGAGCUUGAAGGUAAAGUCCAACCAUGUACAUCACGGGUUAAUUUACCCAGGACUUAGUCUUUCCUUCCUUCCUUUCUUU
rnacentral:lncRNA from 1 species